CCCGGGAUUCAGCCGCGCGCGCCCUGCCAGGCCCUGCGCCGUCCCCACCGCACGAUGCGCGCGCUGCCGCCGCCCGCGCCGCUCCUGCCGCUGCUGCUGCUCGCGCUCCUGGUCGCUCCCGCCGCCCGCGCCAGCAGAGCUGAGUCCGUGUCCGCGCCGCAGCCCAAACCCGAGCGCGAGUCGCGGCCGCCGCCCGGCCCGGGCCCCGGGAACGCCACCCGGACCGGGUCUGGGGCGGCGGGCGGCGGCGGCGGCAGCUCCAACAGCAGCAGCAACGCCUUGGUGACCCGCAUUUCCACGUUCCUUCGCGACCUACCCACCCUCAAGGCGGCCGUGAUCGUGGCAUUCGCCUUCACCACCCUCCUCAUCGCCUGCCUGCUGCUGCGCGUCUUCAGGUGGGCCCUUCCGCCCUGUUCCUAUCCCCGCCGGCCCACAGGGCGCCAUCGCCAACCUGCUGCACCGUGCGCCCGCCCCACCUGCACGCACAGGUCGGGAAAGAGGUUAAAGAAGACCCGCAAGUAUGAUAUCAUCACCACUCCAGCCGAGCGAGUGGAAAUGGCGCCGCUGAACGAGGAGGAUGAUGAGGAUGAGGACUCCACAGUAUUCGACAUCAAAUACAGCAGGAAGAGGCUUCCAGCAUGGAAAGAACUGAUUUCAUAGAGAACCUGCAGCUGGAUCAAGUUCAUCCCAGAAAGGCGGACAGCGUGGACUACUGAAGUUUGGGGAGGGAUCAGGAAUAAUUUGAGGCCUGGGAUGCUGCUAUCAUUUUUCCAGAGAGUUUUUUCUUCUUCUGACGGAUGCUGCUGGCAGUACCAGCCUGGGACACUGUAAUCCAAGUUUACAGCUUGAGCUUCCCUGGAUCAACUUGGCAACACGAAGCUAAGCUCGAAGCCCAUGAGGGUCGGUUUACUUUGGGCUCACCCUGAUUCCGAGAGUAUAGCCCUUCAGGGUUAGGGUAAAGGAGGUGAGAGGACCUAUUUGGGUUCCCAACUUUGGUGGCGCUAGGCUGUGGCUUUUGUCUGUGAGCCAUCAGAUGGGCAGCACAGUUCAUGAGCUCAUUCAUUUGGAUCCACCAGUGGCCUCAAGGCAAAAGCAGCGCAGAGUGCUGGGUUCACUGUCCUGAGUUCUCUUCUCUUUGACUGACUCUGCCCCUUCAUUCCUCACUAUCUUGUUAUUCUCAUUAUCUCUUUGACGUCUGUAGGAAGACAGUUUUUUUUUUUUUUUUUCUUGGAGAAAUGUGGCUUUGUUUUGUUGCCCAGGCUCCUGUGCUCAAGCGAUCCUCCUGCCUUAGCCUCCCAAAUUGCUGGGAUUACAGGUAUGAGCCACAGUGCCUGGCCUUUAUUUAUUUAUUUAAAUGUCCCGCUCUACUUUCAUAACUGUCCUCAGAGGAUAGUUUCAAUGGCCUUGAAGGGGAAAUCUUGGCUACUUUUCUCCACCUUUGCUAACUUCAGAGGUGUGUACAGGCUGGCAAAGCCGAGUACAGCAGAGCCUUGGGGAGGGGAAAGGGCAGAGGGGAAGGUGGAGGAGGCUGGUGCAUCUGGCCUACCCAGGAGAGCCUCCAGAACUGGCAUCUACAUUCAUCUGCCAUGGAUUCCAUCUCUCUUGAGGGGCUUGGCUGACAGGGACAGCUCAGAAAGAGAGAGGAAGAGUCACAGUGCCGGAGUGGCCUGCAGACCUCAGAGGAUCAGAGAGGAGGGGUCAGGCAUCAGGGAGGCCCCUCUGCAGAACAUGCUGAUGGCCUGUGGGGCAGAAGUCUUUCUUUUCUAAUGAUUACCUCGGCCUUAGACUUUUACCAUUUUUGGAUGCCAAGGAAAAUCAGGCUUCUGAGCUUGCGAAGGCUGGGUGGAGUUCCUCGUGUUGCCUCUGGCCUUCAUAUGGCUUCCAGAAAGAAGCAUCCCCUUUAACUUCAUAAUACCACAGGUCUUUCAGUUUGUAAGAAAUCUAUCUAUUCACUUACUUAUUUAUUUCACAAAUAUUUACUGAACACCUGCUAUGUGCCAAGUCCUAUUCUGGGCACUGUGGACAUACCAGCCUCCAAGACAGACAAGAGAAAGCCCAGCCCAUCUAGAUUUCACAUUCUUAGGCAUGUUUCCCUGCAUGAGGAUAUGUUUAGAAAUCUUUCACCUGCCUAAGUCAUCAGGGUAAGGGUUUGCUCUCCUCGUGCCAGAGAUUCCAUAACUCCCUGCCAGGUUUACUUGAUUUUGUACAAGGAAGAUUUCCUCUGCAGGACUUGAAUUUGUAUUUGCCGAUAGCCCAAGGUGCAUGGAGUUUCUUUAGCUUCUAUCACCAGCCUUCUGGGAGUGGGCAGAUCUCUCUGCCACAGUUACACCUGCAGGGUGAGGCAGGUUGCAUAGCAAAGCAGAACUCAGUGUUGGGGCCCACAAAGCUUUCAUCAAGGGAAGAAUGCGGGUGGAGGGCGACAGGUGGGUGUUCUAGAUGGUCAGAGGGGGCCUGUGGCUUACUGCCUGGGUGUCCCAAAAUGUCAGCUAAGGGAACUACAGGAGAAGUUCAUUGAGCUGGAAUGUUCGGACCUGAGACCAGGAAAUGACUUUGCUGGGGUUUCGAUGUCUCUCUAACUUCAGAGGAGUACAGAGAUUGAAAAAACACUUGAUCCAGUCACAGUAUCUUCUGGAUACAUUCAUUUGCAUUCUCUGUUACACAAAUUAAGAAAUGGUAUGUAUACCAUAUUUGCAUGAUUACAAUUUAUUACUUCCCCGGGGAGCAGGGAGGGGCUGCCUCAGGUCUGGCGAAGCUCCUGUGCCCCAGCUUUAGAGGUAGAUGGGUGAGGCAAGGGCGAUUUCAUGCCUUCCUUGAGGCAAGAUGUCCUCUUCUAGACAAGGGGGAGGGCAGCUUGUGUGUCUUGAGGGCCAUGCUUCUCCCUCUACCCCCAUGAAUAAAGCAGUUAGUGCGGGUCCCCCAGGUGUGGCCAUAUUUGAGGAUAUCUGAACAGGCAUGCAGAGAGGCUAUAGGUCAGGUUUGACAGUUUGCUGCAUGCCAACACACACUUGGCUUGUGUUUUAAAAUGUAAGCUCUGGAAACAUCCUACAGGGCUCACGAGGACGCCUUAGCAGCUGACUGAAGGGAAGUGCCUGUCUCCAGCCCAGGUAGCAUUUUGCAGGUCAUGACUGGUGUUCGGCUGACAACAGUAGUUUUCUUUCUAAGACCCAGUUCCCCUCUGGAGGAAAAGCAUCAUCUCUUCUAGAACCCCUUUGUUUUUAUCUUUCUGAUACCCCAUUAGCAUCAUGUUGCUAUUCUCCAAGGAGCCUGGCAGGCAAGAACUGGUUUGGUUCCUGGAUUUGAUUGCUUUUGUGGAGUCCAAUAAAGAGGACCAUUGUUUCUAGGAGGUCACUGGAAACAUGCACCUGACUGUCUGGUCAGCACAAUGUUAGAGCCAGGGUGGGGCUGAAGGUGUCUUGAAGUCCUACUCUGAGCUCAGAAGACUUCUGUUAAUGAUUUCAGUCACAAUCAAACCAGGUAUGCCCAGAGCUGAGACACAGCUGAGCCAAGCAGGAAAAGAGGACAGUGUCCUACAAUAAACUGUUGAUAUGGAUCUGUCUCCCACGUGCUGGAUUCAUUAGGGCAAGGGUUGGGUUCCUCUUUAGUAUUCACAUCCAGUUCCUGUCGGUAGCUGAUCUACUUAGGGAACUCUCAGUAGGUUUUGUGAAUUAAAUUGUAUCCUCAGAUACCACCUUAGAAUUUCAAAAUCUGUGUUCAAAUUCAAAUGGAGAUACCCAGAGCAGAGGCCAACACCUCCAAAAGAGUUUGCAGGGAGUUUUCCAAUGUGUUACCCUUCGUUUACACUUCCACCUCAUUCUCUCUUUUCCUGGGUUAUCAAUACUCAGAAUUCUAAGUAGCUGGGUAUCUAGUCACUCCGUUGACUGAUAGAAGAAAACUCAGUUCUUUGAGAUUGUGUCAGGGUGGACCAAACUGUGGUAACAAAUAGACCCCAAAUAUAAUGGUUCAAACACUAUAGAUGGUUAUUUCUUUCUCACAUAAUAGUCCAAGGCAGACAUUCCAGAUUGCUGGAGUAGGGGCAGGAGAGAAAGUUUGGCUGCCUGCGUUCCUUCAGGAGAUAGGCUGACAGUGGCUUUGCCACAUUCCAGUAUUGACUGGCUCACAAUGUUGCUCUCACCAUUGUCAUUAUCAGUAUAGCCCAUGGGACCUGGGGAAGAACACAGAGGAGAACAUCUGGGAGGUCUUAGGGCCACUUGGAAGCAGGGUGCACCUCUGCUGCUCACGUGGGAAAGAACAUAGUCAGAUGGCCACAGCCAACAUCAUGACUGGAAAAUGGGGUAGUGGCUGGUCAACCACUUACCUUGGAAACGGAGGAAAAUUUGAGUGGCAGCAGAUGAGACUCAGGGUCUUGGAUUUGGAAGAGAUCUUAAGUGUGAACUCAUCCAGUGGCCAGCCCUGGACAAGCACUGGCCUUCUGGCUGGAUUGCUCCCUGCCCCCCUGAUGUAUCUCAGCUGACUUUCUGAUCCAGGAAUACUAAACAGCAAUCAGUGGAAACAAAAGAAGGAAGGGUUUCUUCUUUCAGAUACAUUCUCUGCCACUUGACAAAAAAUGGUGACCCAGAAGAGGGAGAAAAUAAAUCCAGAGAAGCUGCCUGCAUGGGAAACUUACUCUGUGUCCCACGUAGUCUGAGAUCAUGCCUCCCAGAAGGGCUAUGUCACUGAUGAUGUUAUAGGAUCCCUAGAAACUACAGUCACUGCUUGAAUCAUAAUUGCUGCUUCCAGUUCACUGUGGUUGCAUUUCUAGAAGGGUAACUAUUUUUUGUCAUUUUGGAGACAAGCCAGCAUCAACCCACAGGUGACUUUAGAAGGCCUUUCUGCACCCUAAUUGCCUACCUUCUGAAUAGGGGCUUUCUUUUUGGCUCGAUUGACCUAACUUCUUCUGUCCAUCCCAUUUAUACACACCCUCCCCACACCCCAUCAGAACUUUCUUAAGCAAACCCUCCAGUCCGGGCCUGCUGGUAUCUGUUGAUCAUUUUUGGACUCUCGUGUUCCUGCCACUGCCCUCGAGCUCCUAUUUCACCUCCUGGUGGAGACCACCCCAGUCAUCUCACCCCCCUGUAGGUCACUUGUGGGCACUUAUCCACUGCCUGGGUUAUUGCAUCUAUUUGUCCUGCAUUAAUCAUGUCUUCUCUGUGACAUUCUAUACUCCCUGAGCAUUUGGGAUUUGUCCUGUGUUCUGUGACUUUCUCAGGCUUCGGCGUGGUGCAGUGAACAUUCUGUACACAUUUCUGGACAAUGGAAGUCUUAUGAGAACCUGGGAGACUCUGCAGUGACUUGAGCCUGAGGUGUAGAUGAAUGUAAUCAUUGGAUGAUAGGGACUGAUAAAACCCCUCUACCAGUGGCUAGGAGCAGAAGACGGGACUCAGCAGCAGGAGAAAAGAGGAAGGGCUCCCAGCUUCACUCAGUGUCAGCGAACCUCACAGUAGCUGGGUCACAUCUGAACGGGCCACACCCUGGGGCCUUAGACUGUCUGGACAAUGGCAGGGAUGCUGCUAGAGGCUGAUUGUAUUCUUACCGGAAACACUCAGCUCAAUGGAUGGGACAACAGAUUCCCAAGGAGAUGGGGGAGCAAGGCCAAGCCAGGAAAGUGGGACUCGAGGAGGGCUUUGGGCCACCUCACCUACUUUCCCUGCCUUAUCCCCCUCAGGGGCCUUGCAGACAAUGCUUCUGGCCCAGUGAGAGUAAAGGGUGGGAUAGGGAGAGGGCGUCAUUCAUUUCUUGUGUCCGAGGUGAAUGGGUGUGAGAUGAGCUCACUCUCUUCAAGCUGGAACUUAAUGGGCUCCCAAGCUGCCUCCACACGCCAGCCAUUCAUGGAGUGGGUGCCAAGCUCAUCUCUAUUUGAAACUCAGAGUCUGUCUGGGAGCCCGGGAUUUCUGAGCAAUUGUUUUAUGAGGUAUAAAGUGUUUCUUCAGCAGGGAGGAUGACGUGGUGCAAGGCGAAGGCUCAGAACAGUCCCUUCUGCUGUGCAAAUUGACUUUGGACCUGGAGAGGAAACAGGAAAACAAGCCACAUGCCUCGUGGCAGGUUCCCUGGGAAAUUCCCUCCUCUCCUAAUGUCUUUCCCACAGGCACCGCCGACCCCAGUGGACUAUGAGAUUUUGCCCCCUCAACCUGAGAACCACGGAGGUAAUCAGGGUGAGUGCUGGAGAAGCACACAUGAUUCCGAAGAAGCACAAGUGAGGCUUUGGAGAGCUCUGUCUCCUGAAUGGUCUGCUGAGACCAUUCAACGUGUGCCUUUCUCAUGGCCCAGGUUCUAGCAGCACCUUUUCUCGUGUGGGAUCCCUCUUCCCUGGAAGCAGCUCUGCCAGAGCCCUGGGUGUUUACUGAGACGCACCACAGAGAAACAGGGAAGGAGGUCAGGUCCAUUGUGACAUGUCUGCGUUCUGGCCAUUUCUCUCUAACACCUAAGAAGAGGCUGACAGAGUGCCCGAGGGCCCCAGGGACACCACCCAUCUCCCAAGGGGGUGCUUUUUAGACUUCCACUGGCCAGUUAGCUGUGAGACGUGAAAUAAUUUAGUGGGCCUUGAACAAUGUGGAUUAAAAGGAGAAUGGAAAAUUUCAACAUGACUGGCACAUAGUAGGGUAAGCAUUGUUUUGUGAAACUUACAUUUCCUCUUUAGGUACACCGGUGGGUACAAUGCAUACCCACAAAAGAUGUAUUUCUUACUGGAGUCCUGGUUAAAAACACGUCUAAGUGAUUCUACCAGAGCACUUCAGCUGAUUCCAAGUAAUCAGGGAGUGAGGGUGGAGCACAGAAUGGCAGUGGGGAGGAAGGUCGCAGAAGAGCAGGCUGCGAUUUUGUGUGUGCCUCCUGAGCUAAACAUAGAUAGUCUCCCAACGCCUUGAGGAUCUAGGGCCUCUGGCUCAGCCUUUCGGGGCCGGGAAGACACCAUGAGCCUUGUGCUUUGUUUCUUGCAGCAGGCCCUGCCGAAAUUACCUGAGUCGGAAAAGCUGCCCUUUGGGAACUUGAACUAAAAGGACUUCAGCGGUUAGUUAUAAAACUAAAGGAUGUAACAAGUUCAUCCUGUAAUUUCCAAGAUGAGCAGACUGGAAGAAGAUAGCCCUGCUUGAAAGAAAGGAGAGAGGAGAGGUUGGCCGACCUGUCUCCUGAUCCCCCUCCCUUUCCCAGGUCUCCUUCUCUCUCUUUCCCCUGUCCCUAGCAGGGAAGGAGAUUAGAACAGGCAGCCUUUGGGGACUGUAGGACCCUCUUUCUGAUAGGUCGGUCAACAGUGGCCCAGGAAGACCCUAGGGGGGCAGCAAAUAGUGUCUCUGGGGGAGGGAAGAGUCCUCCACAUGGGAGCUUUGGUCCCAUGGCCUCACAUGGUUUAUGUCUCAGAGUGACAAGUGUCACCUGUUACAAGACAAAAGAGUAAAAAGCAAAGAAGAGUGGACAAAGGCAGAUCCUCAAGGGAGGUGGGGUCUGCAGGAUUCCCUGAGAGCCAAAAACGUGAAACCAGGGAGCCCAGUGGCACUGGUGGGUUUCUGAACACAGGCAUUCCAGGGCUUUGUUAUUUUUCUCCAAUGGAAACAACUUUAGAAUAUCAACUGUCAUAAUUCACCCAAGCUACAAGCUCAAACAUGGCUAAGAAACGUUGCUCAAGGUAAUUUCCAAAAGUGUGUUCUUCCAACUUUUCAAGGUCAGGGGCGGGGGAUUUGUGUUCUCUUCUCAUUUUUGUUUGUGUGUUUGCUUGUGGAAGAGGCCUCUCCAGGCCCAGUGUUUACCAGAAGAUGGGGAGAGUGGAAUUAUCUAUCCCCAGCCACUCUCCUCUCAAGGAAAACUGACGGGGAGUGAUGGGACCCUGCCCCACUUGUCCAUGUGAGAGGGAGGCAGGUGUGCUUGUACCGGAGAGAGUUCUCAAGGGGUUAACACCCCAGGAAUGCAUCUAUGCCAACUCUGCUUAUCAUGACCCCCCCCACCUUCAAAAUAUAUCUUAGGGUCACCACACAUGCCAGAAAGUGGCAACACGGGGCACCUCUCUAUGUGCUGAGCAUCCAGAGUCACGUUCUUGGAAUGCCUGACUAGCGUGUAAUUGAAGCAAAUGGAAUCUUUCCCAAAUGUCUCCUUUUACAACUGGAAAAAGAGAUGAAGAAGCAGAAGAAAAACAAAGCCAGAGAAAUAGCCUUUUCUAGGGAAGUCUGACCUCCCUGUCUGGAAGAGAAUAUGGAAAAUACAGAAAGCAUAAGGAGAAACAUGAAAAUCAUUCAUAACUGCACCCUUGGAGGAAGCUGGCCUCUACGUCUUGAUGAAUUUGCUGCCCUUCCUUUUUCUGUGUAUCUAUCUAUUACCUGUGAUAGUUUUUAAAACUGAUGUCAUGUUUUGAUAUAUUUUUGUGUUUUGCUUUAUCCAUUUAAGAUUAUAACAUGAAGGCCGGCGCGGUGGCUCAAGCCUGUAAUCCCAGCACUUUGGGAGGCCGAGGCGGGUGCAUCACGAGGUCAGGAGAUCGAGAUCAUCCUGGUCAACAUGGUGAAACCCCGUCUCUACUAAAAAUUGCAAAAAAUUAGCUGGGCAUGGUGGCGCAUGCCUGUAAUCCCAGCUACUCAGGAGGCUGAGGCAGGAGAAUUGCCUGAACCCAGGAGGUGGAGGUUGCGGUGAGCCGUUGCGCCAUUGCACUCCAGCCUGGGUAACAAGAGCGAAACUCCGUCUCAAAAAAAAAAAAGAUUAUAACAUGAGAACUUUCCCUGUGGGGGCUCUUCCGAAACCCGAUAUUUACUGACCACGCCAACAUUCUGUUGAAUGAGGGAGUGUCCUAAUUCAGUUAUUUAUGGUUUGCAGAAGCGUUGUGCUCAUUUACACUUUCCUUAGCAGCAUAUGAAGGUGCCUGAAUUCCAUCAUCACAAUGCAAUGGAAUUAGGGGGAAAUGCCAGUGAAAGAUGGAGAGAGAUGGGGCUGAAUGAGCAGGUGCCUCGGGCCAGCAUCUCUGCAGACAAGAGAGGAAGGAUCCUGUCGAAGGGUUUCCCACUGCUGCGUGAUUCUAAAAGCUUUGGGCAGGGGAUAGGGAGUCCCCAAACCAUGCCUGGUGGCCAUUCUGUGACAGGCAGGAAUGGAAUGCUAUGAAGACGCUGGUCAUUUUGAAGCAUUGGCUGGGGGUCACCAAGGGGUGGGUAGCUGGAGCUGUCAGUCAACUCUGCUUCCCAGGGGCAGAUUCUCUCAAAGGAGACCAGAGCUACACACCCCCUGGGCUCCCCCACGCCCACCCCACUCCACCUGAUGAACAGGGAAUACAACUGUGAACUGUGAAAAUGGUCUCAUUUGGCUGCUUUGCAUUCUUCUGAUUAGCCUGGAUGUCAAACAUUUCUCAUGACUUUGGUUACAUUCUUGUACUUCUAAGAGCUGUGUGCCUCGGUUCUCUGUUUGCCUGGGAUUGUUUUCCUGACUGAUGUUUCAAGAGGAUUUGCGGCAUUAAGGCUGUUAACUCUGUCAAUUUUUUCCCACUAUUUUAAACGAAUUUAUCCUUUCCCUUUAUAUUUUAUGUAGGAUGUUUGAAUACGUUUUAAAAUAACUUACUCUUCUGUUAAGAUUGUAAGGCCGGUUGCCUCGCCGGGGGCCAAAUGGACACACCCAUUCCUCUCAGUACCUGAAGACUACGUUAUCAUUCUGAGCGCUUUACUCAGCACCUGGCCUCUCCACGCGGGCUCCCCACACCCAUUUUCGCAUGCCAAUCUCAGUCCUGCACUCUCUAGGCACUCGGCCCCGCCGAAGUUUUUAAAAAAGCCGCUGAGACCUGCCCUAUGGCAGCUUGCCCCUACGCCCUCAACCAGCCCACCUGCCAGUAGCCCAGCCUAGCUGCCAACGGCAGACACCUCGUCCGUGCCCAGUCCCUUCGUAACCAAUGAGACUACCUCCGCUUUGUUUCCCCGCAGCCAUCAACUACCUCUACUCGCUAUAAACCCCCACGCCCUCAGAAGAGAAGCGCGACUUCUCUGGCCCCUUUCCCCGGGACCAUGGAACCUCGCCCAGGAGCCGAUUAAAUUUAUUUCAGUAACUGGCCUCAGUUGCCUCAUUCGAACCCUUACAAAGAUCGCUUUUUUUUUUUUUUUUUUUUUAAGACGGAGUUUCGCUCUUGUUACCCAGGCUGGAGUGCAAUGGCGUGAUCUCAGCUCACCGCAACCUCCGCCUCCUGGGUUCAGACAAUUCUCCUGCCUCAGCCUCCUGAGUAGCUGGGAUUACAGGCACGCGCCACCAUGCCCAGCUAUUUUUUUGUAUUUUUAGUAGAGAUGGGUUUUCACCAUGUUGACCAGGAUGGUCUCAUCUCGAUCUCGUGAUUCACCCGUCUCGGCCUCCCAAAGUGCUGGGAUUACAGGCAAAGAUCACUUUUAUUUACUUCAUGUUCAGAAAAUUCUUGCUCAUCCAGGCUCUAGUUAAAUACAUGCCAGUGUGAUAUAGCUGGCCUAGAAUUAGAACCAGUACAAUGCCAUUUUAAAAUGGGAAAACUGUUUCCAUUCUCCUCACAAUAACUGCUAGCCAUGGCUUCUGUAAUCUACUAAGAUUACCUUGCAAAAUGCAAAGAGAGGACAAGCUGCAUACUUUUAUCUGUAACUGCCAGAAUUGCUGGCCUUUGUUUACCAAAGUAAGCACCCCCAGAUAAUUCCAUCCUGGCGCCAAGUAACCUAAAAUUAUGUGGACUCCACACCUGUCCAAAUAAUGUAUAAACUAAUGUUUACCUUGACCUCUGUAAACCACUUAAGUGGCAAUCGGAAUGACAAAAGUCCCCUGGCCCUUGGAAAAUCUGGAGCCCCCUCACCCUCUUCUCAGCCUAGGAGGUGACUGACAGCUUUCAUUCCCAUCUCCGCUCCUCACCCCCACUCCCAAGGUGGUUUUGUGGGUAUAAAAAGGUCUUGUCACUCUUCUUUCUCUGCCACGGGUUGGAGAGACGUGAGUGCUCCGUGGUCGCCGGCAAUAAACCCUGCAAUUUGGCAUA